ensembl:lncRNA
CAGGACUAAACCAGGUCUAAACAAGGACUGAACCAGGACUAAACCGGGACUAAACCGGGACUAAACCAGGACUAAACCAGGACUAAACCAGGACUGAACCAGGACUGAACCGGGACUAAACCGGGACUAAACCAGGACUAAACCAGGACUGAACCGGGACUAAACCGGGACUAAACCAGGACUAAACCAGGACUAAACCAGGACUAAACCAGGACUGAACCAGGACUGAACCAGGACUGAACCAGGACUAAACCAGGACUAAACCAGGACUAAACCAGGACUAAACCAGGACUGACCCAGGA